rnacentral:rRNA from 1 species
CAGCACCUCAAGUGGUCAGGAUGAUUAUUGGGCCUAAAGCAUCCGUAGCCGGCUCUGUAAGUUUUCGGUUAAAUCUGUACGCUCAACGUACAGGCUGCCGGGAAUACUGCAAAGCUAGGGAGUGGGAGAGGUAGACGGUACUCGGUAGGAAGGGGUAAAAUCCUUUGAUCUAUUGAUGACCACCUGUGGCGAAGGCGGUCUACCAGAACACGUCCGACGGUGAGGGAUGAAAGCUGGGGGAGCAAACCGGAUUAGAGACCCGAGUAGUCC